GACGGAGGUGGCAAGCGUUGUCCGGAAUUAUUGGGCGUAAAGCGUGCGCAGGCGGUUCGGUAAGUUCGAUGUGAAAGCCCCGGGCUCAACCUGGGAAUUGCAUUGGAAACUGGCGGGCUUGAGUGUGGCAGAGGGGGGUGGAAUUCCACGUGUAGCAGUGAAAUGCGUAGAUAUGCGGAGGAACACCGAUGGCGAAGGCAAUCCGCUGGGCCUGCACUGACGCUCAUGCACGAAAGCGUGGGGAGCAAACAGG
rnacentral:rRNA from 1 species